rnacentral:rRNA from 1 species
CAUGCAAGUCGAACGAGAAAGUCCCUUCGUGGGGCGAGUACAGUGGCGAAAGGGUGAGCCAUAUAUAGGUAACCUACCUCUUGGAUCGGGAUAAUUCCUGGAAACGGGUUGUAAUACCGAACGGUCCUCCCGGGUCGCAUGGCCUGGUUGGUAAAUGGUAGCUCUGCUUCUGCCGAGAGAGGGGCCUAUGUCCUAUUAUCUUGUUGGUGAGGUAACGGCUCACCAAGGCGAUGAUGGGUAGCCGGACUGAGAGGUUGGCCGGUCACACUGGGACUGAGACACUGCCCAGACUCCUACGGGAGGCUGCAGUCGAGAAUCUUCCGCAAUGGGCGAAAGCCUGACGGGGCGACUCCGCGUGAACAAAGAAUGCCUUCGGGUUGUAAAGUUCCGUCAGGAGGGAAGAAAAUUCUUUGGUUAAUAGCCUUCUGGCUUGACGUUACCUCUGGAGGAAGCCCUGGCUAACUCCGUGCCAGCACGCGCGGUAAUACAGAGAGGGCAAGCGUUGUUCGGAAUCACU